rnacentral:misc_RNA from 1 species
GAUGAAGAACGUAGUGAAAUGCGAUAAGUAAUGUGAAUUGCAGAAUUCAGUGAAUCAUCGAAUCUUUGAACGCACAUUGCGCCCUCUGGUAUUCCGGGGGGCAUGCCUGUUCGAGCGUCAUUACAACCCUCAAGCUUUGCUUGGUAUUGGACAUUGCCAGUUUCUGGCAGGUCUUAAAAUCAGUGGCGGUGCCAUUUGGCUUCAAGCGUAGUAAUUCUUCUCGCUUUGGAGAUCCAAGUGGUUACUUGCCAAUAACCCCCAAUUUUUUCAGGUUGACCUCGGAUCAGGUAGGGAUACCCGCUGAACUUAAGCAUAUCAAUAGCGGAGGA